rnacentral:lncRNA from 7 species
AUGCUGUGUGGGCAAACGCAGCCGAGUUUUAACAGUAUCAUCUGGGCUGCACAGUUGCAUCUAAACCCCUGCGUUUCUACACCAGAGCCCUCCCGUAGCUGGAGGAAGCAAGCAGCCGUUCAGGACAGACCUGAGAAGACAAUGGCAUUUAACAAAUGUGACUCAGCCAAUCUGAGAGGAUACAAAGACACGUGGGUUACCAAGUGUCCCAAAAUGGCGUCUCCUCUCCGUGGAAGGCAGGCGGAUACAAGAUGGCGCCUCCCUAUGCAGGGAGGUGGGAGGGAUUUCCUGUGCAGGGCCCUGCCACCUCUGGUGGGGCUGAUUGACAUUGGGCCCUGCCCUUCACCUGAGGUUUCUUUCCCACCCCGGCAUGCAGUCGGCACAGCGCUGCCUGCUGCUGACCAGGAAGAGCUGCGGGCCGGAGAGGCAGGUGUGUGGAGCAGGAGCAGCAGCUUUACACGCCACAGCGUUCGGUGCCUGGCUGCCCGAGUGGUUGGCUGUAAAUGCGGUGAUCAUUAGAUGGUACAGUAUAUACGCAUGGUACAGUUAUGGAAAGUGGCCAGCUAUGUUAUCCGGCCGCCCUCCCACAACUUCUUGUGCUACUCCAGCCUCCUGGCUCGAAGGAGAGCAUAAGAAGCAGAAAUGUAUUUGCACUCUGUCACUGUACUUCUCUUUAUCUUCUAAUAUCAUGUGACUGUUAGCGCCCAUUUUUACUAAAAGGAAUUCCAUAACAAGAACACUUGGCAUGAAUCAAUGACAAGUUACACAAUCCAUAGGAAGACAGAGUAUUUAAGUAAUGCAGACAAAGAGUUACAAAUUUUGCUGGAGAAUCUAAAAAUAAGUAAAUGUAAUAGAUACAGUAAUAGCAAUAUUAACAUGCAAAUGCACAAUACCAAUCACCCUCACAGGCAAAACAAUCUCAACGCGCACUGAGUAGAUUUACAUUACUGCCAAUUGCAAACAGCGGCGGACAGCAAGGAACAAAACCACUUUCCACCUCUCCUCCUCUCGCUACUUCCCAGGCUCCCUUUCUCUCCUUAAUACUCAGUUCCCAGACCUCACCUCCCCACGUGCCUGCCUCGGGACCCACAGCCAUCACAGGCAG